AGCAUAUGUGGAAAUAUGUCUAUUGUAUAAUGUGCAUGUAUAUAAAGUGCAUGUAUAUAAGCAUAUGUGGAAAUAUGUCUAUUGUGUGACGGACCAUGCAAAAACUAUGUGGUGUGAAUUGUGCAUUAGGAACGUGCAGGUAAAACAGGUGUGUUUCCCACUGGACACUUGUUGCAUAUGGGAAAGAAUAUGCGCAAGUAUGCCAAGAUGCAAACGCAAACGGACGGAGUUCGGGUUGAACCUGCUAAUUGUUGCACUUCACUUUUCGUUUAAGCGGACCAGCGCGGUACCGGCGUUAGACGAGAUGAGGCCCUUGGAUAAGGGACGGACAGCGGGAUGCUGUUCCGUUGUGGGGGUCGGCGGACAGACCGACAGUGAACAAAUAUGGCGUAUCCAACGCCAGGAACAAGCUGGGGCGAACGGUCGUAGGCUGCACAGGACUUGGAAGGAACAGGAGGUGCACCUGAAGAUCCGGCUCGAAGGACAAUGUUGGCGUGGGGCGUUGGGGGUGAAAGUCCAAAAACCGCAAGGGAAGUAAAAAUGGCGUCUGCUUUCCUUUUCACUGUGACGUGACUCGCACUGGCGCUUAGCUGCCCAUAUGAAAGAGGGAGAGGCCGCCGACGCUAGCAGCGCUCUGCCAGCAGAUGUUGCUGGCAAGCGUUGCCAUGUCAACACUGGCAGAGUGCUGCCACAUCAACUUUAAUUUUACAUUUUUCGUCUUAUUCUAUCCUAACGGUGUCAAGUGGAUUUCCCCUCCAUCUGUAUAUUCCAAGCCUUUCUUAAACGCAGUGUGCACCCACCCUUAAACGCUGUCGCGGUCCUAUUUGCCUAUGCAUUUCUUGUUACCUACUAUGCGUUGGUCUGUACCACUGCUGCAUGCGGCUAUUUUUAGACCGAGAUUUGUUGCUUAGCCUACCUACUGCUUGUGCUCCCUAUGCUAACUUCUGAGCUCUUGUUCACUUUUGUGAACAAAGUUCUACUCAAUAUUUACUGGUAUUUAAAUUGGACAGCAAGUGGCCUGCAGUAUGCAGCGAACAUAUGACAAACAAUAUAUUUAAUUGUAAUAAUAAGUCAUACCUACAUAGUGUUUGCCAGUUUACCGCACACGCGCAAUUCGCACUUCCAAUAUAAAAAGCUCUCUCAGAGAGGUGGAAAAAAGUAAAGCGUGGUACUUACUUACAGCUGGUGGAUCCACGUCCAAAAGAUCUUUCGUGUGGUUGCCAGCUGAAAACAAAAGCAACAUUACGCGAGAGAGGCGGCAAAGCAAAUUGUUUUUUUUCCUUUUUGUUGGUGUCAAUUUUUGGCUACUGCGCUGGCGCACAUAUUUUUGCAUAUAACUUUCAAUGCAAUCUAACAAUCAAAAAGAACUAAAAACAAAUUAGAAUGAUUUCACUUAUAUAGAACUAAAACCAUAAAAAAAAAAAUUUUUUUUAAUGUAUUAUUAUUAUAAUUCUAAGUCAGAUUUUGUGGUAAUGCCUUUUUUGGUGCUAGAGGGCACCAGACCAAUUUCGAGUUGAGCGCGCACGCAACUGUUCACUUCAGGGGUCGAAACCAAAAAGCAAGAGCUUGAUCAACAACGAAGAAAGGAUACCUUGUCUGCGGGAAUUUCUCCUUUCUUCCGUCCUUUGACAGCGAGUGUCAGACCAAAAUAAAUUCUCGAUGAUGUUACUUCUACUUUCACUAUCCACCAAAGGGUGAUAAAUUCUACGAACUAGGAAGAAGCAUAAAACAGAAGGGAACCAAAUAUCUCUUUUGCCUACUUCUGGGCUUGUAUGAAAAUUCAAAAAUCUUUUCUGCUACGCGAGGCAAGCGCACUACAGGGUUCAAUCGCGCCUAAAUUGGCACAACUUUGCAGCAGAUUUCUUGGUUCUUAGGUCGAUUUCGACAGCUCAACCAGGUCGUGCCUGCGAAACAGUGGAAAAUACCUUCCAACAUUGACUUAACCGAUCCAGAAUUUUACAGCCAGCCAAGGUCGAUUUAUUUCUUGGGAAAACAAACAGCGCGUCGUUUUCGAUGCAUCAAGCAAAACUUCGACGUCGGUUUCACUCAACGAAACUUUAAUAGCCGGUCCUACUGUUCAGAGGGAGCUUUGUGCGACACUUAUCGCUUUUCGGUUGUAUAAAUAUGCUGUAACUGCUGAUAUUUCAAAAAUGUACAGGCAAAAAGUAACUUAGUUUUGAUAGCACUGACUCUGUCAAAACACUUGGUGUUGAUGAACGCCUGCAACAAAUCGUAUAUUUUCAUUCUUUCUAUCCAACACAAUGUUUAUACACAUUUGAUUUAUAUUUCUACUCAUUAUCCAUGUUCAUGUAUACUAAUUAGUGUGUACACCCUUUAAAACAUUUGUGACCACUGCGACGGCAUUUCUUAUAAUUGUGAAAUUAUCAUUUAGUAUUAAAGUUUCAACAGUUCAGUA